rnacentral:rRNA from 1 species
AGUGAACGCUGGCGGUAGGCCUAACACAUGCAAGUCGAACGGCAGCACAGUAAGAGCUUGCUCUUACGGGUGGCGAGUGGCGGACGGGUGAGGAAUACAUCGGAAUCUACUUUUUCGUGGGGGAUAACGUAGGGAAACUUACGCUAAUACCGCAUACGACCUACGGGUGAAAGCAGGGGAUCUUCGGACCUUGCGCGAUUGAAUGAGCCGAUGUCGGAUUAGCUAGUUGGCGGGGUAAAGGCCCACCAAGGCGACGAUCCGUAGCUGGUCUGAGAGGAUGAUCAGCCACACUGGAACUGAGACACGGUCCAGACUCCUACGGGAGGCAGCAGUGGGGAAUAUUGGACAAUGGGCGAAAGCCUGAUCCAGCCAUACCGCGUGGGUGAAGAAGGCCUUCGGGUUGUAAAGCCCUUUUAUUGGGAAAGAAAAGCAGCAGGUUAAUACCCCGCUGUUCUGACGGUACCCAAAGAAUAAGCACCGGCUAACUUCGUG